GACGAACGCUGGCGGCGUGCCUAACACAUGCAAGUCGAACGGAGAUAUAUGCUGAAGAAUAGCUUGCUAUGAUUCUUAUAUAUCUUAGUGGCGGACGGGUGAGUAACGCGUGAGCAACCUACCUUUCAGAGGGGGAUAACGUUUGGAAACGAACGCUAAUACCGCAUGAUAUUAUUAAGCUGCAUGGCUUGAUAAUCAAAGGAGCAAUCCGCUGAAAGAUGGGCUCGCGUCCGAUUAGGUAGUUGGUGAGAUAACGGCCCACCAAGCCGACGAUCGGUAGCCGGACUGAGAGGUUGAACGGCCACAUUGGGACUGAGACACGGCCCAG
rnacentral:rRNA from 1 species